rnacentral:rRNA from 1 species
UUUGUCACACUAUCAUUAACUGAAUCCAUAGGUUAAUGAGGCGAACCGGGGGAACUGAAACAUCUAAGUACCCCGAGGAAAAGAAAUCAACCGAGAUUCCCCCAGUAGCGGCGAGCGAACGGGGAGCAGCCCAGAGCCUGAAUCAGUGUGUGUGUUAGUGGAAGCGUCUGGAAAGGCGCGCGAUACAGGGUGACAGCCCCGUACACAAAAAUGCACAUACUGUGAGCUCGAUGAGUAGGGCGGGACACGUGGUAUCCUGUCUGAAUAUGGGGGGACCAUCCUCCAAGGCUAAAUACUCCUGACUGACCGAUAGUGAACCAGUACCGUGAGGGAAAGGCGAAAAGAACCCCGGCGAGGGGAGUGAAAAAGAACCUGAAACCGUGUACGUACAAGCAGUGGGAGCCUCUUUAUGGGGUGACUGCGUACCUUUUGUAUAAUGGGUCAGCGACUUAUAUUCUGUAGCAAGGUUAACCGAAUAGGGGAGCCGAAGGGAAACCGAGUCUUAACUGGGCGUUAAGUUGCAGGGUAUAGACCCGAAACCCGGUGAUCUAGCCAUGGGCAGGUUGAAGGUUGGGUAACACUAACUGGAGGACCGAACCGACUAAUGUUGAAAAAUUAGCGGAUGACUUGUGGCUGGGGGUGAAAGGCCAAUCAAACCGGGAGAUAGCUGGUUCUCCCCGAAAGCUAUUUAGGUAGCGCCUCGUGAACUCAUCUCCGGGGGUAGAGCACUGUUUCGGCAAGGGGGUCAUCCCGACUUACCAACCCGAUGCAAACUGCGAAUACCGGAGAAUGUUAUCACGGGAGACACACGGCGGGUGCUAACGUCCGUCGUGAAGAGGGAAACAACCCAGACCGCCAGCUAAGGUCCCAAAGUCAUGGUUAAGUGGGAAACGAUGUGGGAAGGCCCAGACAGCCAGGAUGUUGGCUUAGAAGCAGCCAUCAUUUAAAGAAAGCGUAAUAGCUCACUGGUCGAGUCGGCCUGCGCGGAAGAUGUAACGGGGCUAAACCAUGCACCGAAGCUGCGGCAGCGACACUAUGUGUUGUUGGGUAGGGGAGCGUUCUGUAAGCCUGCGAAGGUGUGCUGUGAGGCAUGCUGGAGGUAUCAGAAGUGCGAAUGCUGACAUAAGUAACGAUAAAGCGGGUGAAAAGCCCGCUCGCCGGAAGACCAAGGGUUCCUGUCCAACGUUAAUCGGGGCAGGGUGAGUCGACCCCUAAGGCGAGGCCGAAAGGCGUAGUCGAUGGGAAACAGGUUAAUAUUCCUGUACUUGGUGUUACUGCGAAGGGGGGACGGAGAAGGCUAUGUUGGCCGGGCGACGGUUGUCCCGGUUUAAGCGUGUAGGCUGGUUUUCCAGGCAAAUCCGGAAAAUCAAGGCUGAGGCGUGAUGACGAGGCACUACGGUGCUGAAGCAACAAAUGCCCUGCUUCCAGGAA